AGCUCCAAUAGCGUAUAUUAAAGUUGUUGCGGUUAAAAAGCUCGUAGUUGGAUUUCUGUUGAGGGCGGUCGGUCCCGGCUUCGUCUGGUGUAUCUGACUCGGCCUUGGCAUCCUCUUGGGGAACGUGGCGGUGCUUGAUUGCGUCGCACGGAAUUCAAGACUUUUACUUUGAGGAAAUUAGAGUGUUCACGGCAGGCAAUCGCCCUGAAUAUAUUAGCAUGGAAUAAUGAUAUAGGACCUUGGUACUAUUUUGUUGGUUUCUAGAACUAAGGUAAUGAUUAAUAGGGAUAAUUGGGGGCAUUCGUAUUAACGCGUCAGAGGUGGAAUUCUUGGAUUGCGUUACGACGAACUACUGCGAAAGCAUUUGCCAAGGAUGUUUUCA
rnacentral:rRNA from 1 species